CUGAUGUUGAGUAUCUGUCUGAAAAAAUCUGUCCUGAACAGUUCUGUGGAACUAAGAAGCUGGUGCCUGAGAUUUCUGCUAAAGACGGAUGUGGUGCUCUAGAAUAAAGACAUCCUAAAAGCACUGCAAGCCUAUCUUCCGCUUUGUAAAGUGAGGGGGCUGACGAAUGGAGCUCAGGAGCUUGAAACCUGUUGCACAAAAGGCAGGUGCACAGAGCAAGAUUUCAUUUAAAAAGUUGUUAAGACCCCGAUAGCCAGUACUAAAGCUAAAAUUACUGAUUGGCUUGAACAAGCCCUAUUUAAGCUCUGAAAUUCCAGGCGCUUCCACUUCUGCUGCUGCUACCUAAAAGUGAUUGUCUUGUGCAUAUGCUGCUCGUGACAAUCAGUUUUCUUCAGCAGAGAAGAGAAAUGGAGAUGCUGAAGGGAGUGCCAGCAGCAGCAAGGCUGCUGAAGGGAUAAAAGCACAAAGUAAUUUUUUCCUUGCAGGACUCUGUGAAAUGAGUAAUUCUGUGGUGGACAUACAAUAGUUUGGUGAUUCUCUGUUAUCCUUCUGCUGCUGUCAGCACAGGAAAUCAGCUGAAAUGAAAUGGACAGAAACAGUGUUUCAGUGACUGAGCUCCCAAAUUUGAGCUGAUGCCAGCAGCACCCUGUGUUCUUGUCAGCCUGCCUGAUGAUCUCUGUGCUGUUUAACUCUCAUAAGGAUUUAAUACUUGACACUGGGACAAAGUUUUGUUUCCAGGCAUGCAGGGGGUGUUUCUUAUACUGUUAUGUGGCAUAUUUAUUCAAAAUGUACUAUAUUUAAGAUUGCUGUAAUCACAUACAUACAUUGGCUACUGGCCACAACGCUAAAGCUAUUAAUCAUAGCCCAGAAUCCAUGGCAGAUGUAAAAAUUAAGUUUUAUUUAUCAAACUUACUCAUUGGAAACGGCAACCCAAGAAAUUUACUCCUUAGGAUUCUGACUUUUCUUAAAUACUUCAGGCAAUGGGUUCAAGUUUCAAAAAAGGUGUAAAUCUUUUUUUUUUUUUUCCCCCUCAAUCCAGACAGUGCUGGCUCAAAACUAAAAUUAUUUUUCCAGAAAUUCAAACCCUUUUGUUUGGACAUCCUUUAUUUUUCUGCCAAAUUAUACCACCAGUGCUAUUUCUUUAACCUAACACUAUUUUCCGUUAUAAUCCCAUCUUUCAAGAAACAAACCGAAGCCUUCCACCCUUGCAGCGAUUUCAGGCCCGCAGAUACGACUACCUUUCAGCUGAGCUGGGGAAGUAGUCUCCAGUGACAGGCUUGGAAGAUUGUGGUUACUUUCUCCAUAAAUAACGAGAUGAAAAUCCAACAACUUGAUACCAACAAGCAGGUUUGGGAGAAAGAUUAUUUCUGUGCUAUGACCCACAAAAUCUCCAGCUCUGUAAACUUUGGUAUAUGGGUUUACUUAUGAAAAACAGUGUCUCUGAAAAUAACAUGCAUGCAUACUAUUUAAGUUGAAGGGUCCACGAACUGUGAUGAUGAUUCUGCUGUUUUCUUAUAUAGGAAACCCUCUAACAACCCAAACUUGUUCAAGUAUUAAAAAGAACAGAUUAGGUACAAAAGCACAGAAAGAAAAGAAAAAAACCCACAGGACUAGUAUUAUGGGACACAAAUACACCCACCAUAUGAGCAAACUGAGUGCUGCAGAUUUGUUUCUGGGUUCGGUUUCUUCUUUAUUUAUUUAUUUAUUUAUUGCUUGCAAAUUGUUUUUGAUUUGCAAGCAUUCCUUUUGUAUACAUGUAUGAUAUAUUGAAGUGCAAGAACUAAAUUAAUUCCAAUUGUCCUCUGCUUGGAUUAAGUAUAUGUAAACCUUAUAAUGUCUGGGCUUUAUUUGCUUUUGCAAUCCAAACGUUGUUAUAUCUUUUUGUUCUCUGAAUUGUUAUAAAGCACUACUAAUCUGUAGAGCAUAUGAUUGUUCAGAAAUCAUUUGCUUUCCUAAGCAGCUUGUCAACUAGUUUGAAUGAAGAAGGCAUCUGAACGACAGGAUAUAAGGGACAACGUGGACACCACUGGAGAGCAGAUGCAGAAGUGCCAGUGGAAGGUUGGCUCUCAUUUUCUGGCUCUGCUGUGAAUUAUGUUCAACCUUUCCUUAAGAAAGUUUGUGUUUCAGAACAGCUCAUUUAAAAAAAACCUGACCCAAGCCUCCCAACAAGAUAGUUGAUGGCAGAAAAAGCUUUCUGCUUAGAUUUGAAAGCUCUUCAAGAAGAGGAGUGCAAAGGGACUGACAAACUCAGCGUUCUGCUCUAUGCCCCUUCUUCAUGCCAACAUAUUUCUUUUUUCCAACUACUAAUCACAAAUCAGUAGUUCAGUAACUGACCCAAUAGUAUUUUGGACUAUUAUUCUAUUUGGGUCUGCUUUCACCUAAAUAACAACCAUCUGGUGGUGUCUCAAAUCAGAUUCAUCUGAUGGACUGCGUAUAAUAACCAGUUCAAGGAUUGUCAGGGGAAGGGUUAACAUUCUUGCCCUGAGCAGAAGGACCGCAGCUGCAUGCCGUAAACUUAACACAAAGAUUGUCAGGGGUAGAAGGCCUGGGUCAGCUGUAAAGAAUUAAGCAAAUCCCCCUACUACAAGAAGAGGGAAGAAAAAGGGUGGAAUUAAGAAGUCUAUUUCUGUUUUUGCAUUUGGUUCAUGGUGAAAUAGAUAACCGAGAACUUUUGAGGCAUACCUUGACCCUUGGCCUCUGUGCAUUCUUUCCUCUUAGAGCGCCUCCUCCUUGAUCUCAAAGAACCUGAGUAGUUCAUCUGUCAUUCUGUUAAUGUCUGAGUUUUGCAGAAGGUGUGUGGAAAAGGUACCAUGUAAAUCUGUAAAUUCAUCUGUUGUUUUUCUAGAAAUCUGCAUGCUCUCUUUCAAGCUAAUGUGUUUCUAAAGGGAAGGUGGGAAGUUUACUCCACUGAAACAUUCUCAGGGCAAACACUUUUUCAAGAACAAGACUGAAGCAUAAACGUGCCUUGUUUUCUCCCAGAUGUUACGUCCUACUUCAGAACAAAUUCCAAAACAUAGGUUUCCUUGGAAAGUCCAUCACAGAAAGACAAGGAAAUGGAAGAUCCUUCUGCUACAGCAAGUAAUGGGAGAGCUGGAAACACAGCUAUGUGUCAUGGUAUGUUAGAGAAUGGAAAAAAUAUGUAUGUUCAGGGCUAGUUGAUUUUGUAUAUCCAAAGACUCUUUCAUGGAGAGGAGAGAUGCAAAAUGUUGGAGAGUGUUGCGGAAAGGAGCCUUCCACAAAAGACAUGGCUGAGGUUGCUAUUGCAGCCUGGGGUCGUGCUAAGGGUUCUAGGUUCUCUGCAAUGAGUGGGGAAGGCCACAUUCUGCUUUUAUGUUUCUUUCUGCUUUCUUGGCUUCUUUGAGUCUGUCAGGUUACCAUGGGUUCCUGGGCUUUGGACUUUUUCCUUUUUAAGCUGUGGGUCUAUGUGCAUAUGUGGAUAUGUUAUGUAUGCAUACAUACAAUAAGUGUGCAUAUGUUUACGUCUGUGCAUAUGUAUAUAUACAAAACUUUCUUCAGGAAUAUAACUUUUUAGGUACUGAAUAGUAGAAAAGCAAAAUGCUUGUCUUUGUAACCAUAAAACAUCAUACUGAAAUUGAUUAGAUUUCAUCCAGUGAUGUGAGGGGUUUUGAUGCUGUUUUAACAGUUGAGCAUACAGGCUGGCCAAAUUUGAAGUGCUUGUUCUGAGGCCAAAUCCAGGUGCCUGUUGUUUGCUGGAAGGCUGCUGUAUCUCUUGUGUCUUUGGAGGAACUGCCUCAGGGAGCAGCAGACUACCUGAACCUUAGCUCCUGCUUCCCUUGACUUGUGUGAGCCAACACCUAACAAGCUUACUUGAUUCCUCCAUAACUGUUUGCACUGUGUGGCUCUGAAGUUGCUGUCCAUCUGCAAGAUUUAAAGCAAAAUUCUUGACUGUAUCUGCUGCUGACAAUGGAAAAAGCAGAUUUGUUCUGUCUUUCUAUUUCUUGGGGGGCGGGGGGGGGUUGAAGAGGGUAAGACUAUAUUUCAUACGUGAAAACAUUUUUCAAAAUGAUUAGAUUAAAACCUCUGUAAUUUGAUUUGUUGGGUAGGAGGAGGGAAGAUGGAGGGGAAAAAAUGUAUUCUGUAAUGUUUUUCAAUAAUAUUGCAACAAACUAAGACUCCAGACCAACAAAUACUUACACAUGUGUUUAGCUUCAAGUCUGAGUUGGACCCAAGGGGCCUGUAUUUGUAUUUGAUUAAUGACAAUUAUUUGAAGAGAGCUGGACUGGGUGGAAUCAACUGGAAAAAAUAUGUUGCUAUAAAAAUGUAUGCUUUCUGUAACAUA